GAAUGCAUAAAUUCCAUGAAAUAACAAUCAUAUAAUGACCUGAGCACCAGCACACUUAAACAUGUACCUAGAACAGGUGAGUGUGUGUUUUUGGCAAUUGGCAUAGGCUUUCAAAGGGUAACAUCUCCCUGUUGGACUAUUCCUAGGCACUAUGGCUAGCGACACUAUUUGGGGCCUCCCCCUACCACUUUUUUAACUUAUUUUUUCUUCAUGUCUCAGAGUCAGUAUUUUCUAACAUUUCUAGUCUCUCCAAGACCCCACCUUAAAUUGCUAAAGCUAAUGUCUGUUCUUUUCUCUUCCUCCUGAGAGAGACCUGUGAGUUGGAUGGAAGUGACAUUGAAGUAGCAAAAGAAGUGGAUUCUGUACUGAUUUCUUCAGUGGAGUAGCAUCAUGAACCUUGGGCAAAUCACUCAGACUCUUUGGAACUGUGAAAUGGAGGUCCCUGUUAAGUCUAAAAUCUCAUUCUUUCCAUCUCAUGGCCUGUCUACAUCCUGUUCCAAUGAGUUCUCAUACCUGAGCCAUCCCUCUAGUGCCCACCAGAACCAGUCUGUGAGCCAAGAUCUUUGGCAAGUGUACAACUGCUCGGAGCCUCAAGCUGCUCAUUUGUGAAAUCGGGGGAAGAAUACCUGUCUCAGCACAUUGUUAGAGUGUUAAACAUGUGGGCACACGUGUGUGUGUGUGUGUGUGUGUGUGUGUGUGUGUGGCUUUGAACAGAGCCUGAUGUAUGGAAAACACUGAAGUGCUUGCUGUCAUUAGCAUAUCCUCUCUAUUCUGCUCUCAGUGCUUGUUGAAAGCAACGUGCACACCACAAAGAAGGCUUUUUUCAAUGGGGUCUGCCAAGGAAUAUAGAAACAGAGAAAGAACUUACUGUUUAUUAGCAAACCUUACUCUGAAGCCACAGGAAAGAGUAAAUUAUCCCCAUUAUAGUGGACCUGACUGGAGCUGAGUUUGGGGACUUAGACACCACCUCCAACUUGGGGAGCCAACUGUCUAAAGGCUCUGUCUGAGAACUUCAAAAAAAAGCCAGCCUUGGCUGACAGGGCCCACAGAUCCUUGCUUACUACAGCAAGUCUUCAGGGGAUGGGGGAGAACUAGCAGAUUUCAUUAAACUGCAGUCUUAAUAUGGUGGGACUGGAGAUGACCCAGACCUCAGGAGCUGGGACAGCAAACUUCUCUCUGGCCUUCAGAGUUAAAAUUCCCCGAUCUGGCACUGGGCCAGCCCUAGAGAAUCAGAAAAGUGGCAAGCCAUGGAAAUGUUCUGUGUUUGUGCCUGAGAGAAGUUUUGACCGGAGUUUUCCAUGCAGGACUGUUUCGCAUGUGUAUGUGUGUUAAAUAUUCUGUAACAUCUGAUUCAAGAAGAAGCUAAACCGUAAAAAAGCCAACAGUAGUCUGACUAGGCCAAGGGGAAAAAGGGUCAAGAGUUCAGUCCCGGCCCGCUAAGCCCUCAGGACAGAUCAGGAAUAGAGAUUUAUUUAAGAGCACAUGUGCGGCCUUGGAGAGGGCAGACAGAGGAAUAUGAGAGAGGAGGGGUUUGAAUUGCUGGUGGAAAAGAGGCAGUGGAAUUAUACUUGGGGCGGGGGGGAAAGCUUUUCAAAUAAAACACAUCUGCCAGAAGAGAAGCUAGAACAAGGGUAGGGAAGAGUGGUCCUGAAGGAGGUGGGGGUGCUUAGCUGUAUCGUCCGGUCCAGUGCCCUCGUUUUUGAGAUGGAGAGCCCGAGGCCAGUUAGUGGCUUGGCCUGGCCUCUGAGGCUGGUGCUCUCCUCACAUCUUGCUGUUUCUAGAUGUGGUUCUUUGGUUGGAGGGGGCGCUUACCUUCUUUCCUUGACCUUCCCACCCUCAACCAGUGUGACUCCAGCGGGGGCUCUGCUGACAAUAUGCAGCUGUAGCAAGGGAUUGAAGAUGGCCUGUAAGGAGGAAGCGCAAGGAGGGAAGAGCCUGUGCAAAGGGAAACCAGAGUCCGCUGAGCUUGGACCACCCUCACCCCCAGAAAAUCAGCACCAGGGCCCUUAAACUCAGACUAACGUGACUUGUCCCUGCACCUCUCAGCAACUCUGGAGGCUCCUAGGUUGCUGAAUGCGUCUUGAUGUUUCAGCGCCCAGAAAUGUCAACAAAUCUCUUGGGUGAAUUUCAGAGGGGAGCAAUAAACAUGUUGGGAGACUGGAAGAAAAGAUCAAAGGGACCAGAGUGUGGGAACUGAGGUCGUUAGGUUUUAGGUACACGAGCGCUCAACAAUGGGAGAAGACUUUUCCAGUUGUAAGCACCCAAGGACCAGAAGAGGAAGGAACAAAUCUUAAAUGGAAUCUGCCCAGCUGCAGGCCAAAGAAGACUGGUUCAAAUUGCUGUGUUCCUCUUGGCUGCUGGGUCCUGUAGGCACGGUGCAUCUCAGUACUGGUGUCCUGAGGCUUUGCAAAUCAGGAUGGCGAGUAUCUGGUUUGGCUAUUAUUUCCAUGUGGGGAAAAUGGAGGAAAAGAACAAUUCCGAUUCCCUGCAGCCCCAGUCUUGUUGCCUGCCAGCAGUGGAGAUUGUUCACAGUCGGGCGCUACUCAAAGGUUCCUGGUGUCUAACAGGUGCCAGCAGCCACUCAGGACACCCGUUGGAGCUCACCUUCACCAUCCCGCCCCAUCACCAUAACAACCACCUGUGGCUUCAAACCCUGUUCUAAAGCUCAUCUGCCAAGCAUCAUGGAAGGAGCCACGAAUGAAAAGGGUUGAAAGGGAAGGCAGCCCACCUUGCAGUAUCUACGUCUGAAAGGCAGCCUUUCUGCUGGAAGAAAGGACAGUGGGGAUGGCCUCUGGCUGGUGACUUUCCACACUGCCAGGUCCUUAGAGUCUUGAAAGCCAGCAAGAACUGUUUCUUCGCAGUAGUAGCUGCCUGGGUUCCAAGACUCAGCCCCCUUGUAGGCGGGUGGGGCCAUAGGACUAGUUCUGGCAACUGAAAUGACAGCAGAAGUUCACUUCCAGGCUGAAGAAGAAACUCAUGGGCUUCCCUGGUGGCGCAGUGGUUGAGAGUCUGCCUGCUGAUGCAGGGGACACGGGUUCGUGCCCCGGUCCGGGAAGAUCCCACAUGCCGCGGAGCAGCUGGGCCCCUGAGCCAUGGCCGCUGAGCCUGUGCGUCUGGAGCCUGUGCUCCGCAAUGGGAGAGGCCACAACAGUGAGAUGACCGCGUACCGCACAAAAAAAAAAAAAAAAAAAAAGAAACUCAUGCAUGAUUCUCCAGUCUCUCUCUUCCCCUGCCAAUUGUGCAGUUGGGCAAUUGUGGCAGAGGCCUUGAGUUUACAUGGUGGGCCAAGAGAUCAAAACAGCCAGGGUCUUGGAGUCACUGCAUGGCAGGCUGCUGUGAGUGGCAAAUACACACUAAUUGUAUAAAACCACUGAGAUUCUUAGGACUGUUUGUUACUACAGCACAACCUUGCCUAUCCUGACUAACACACAAACUGAGUCUCAGUUUCCCCUCCCCUACUUCACAUGACUGUGGUGAAGAUAUAAUAGAGAAUAUGUGUCAAGCUGUUAGCUCAAUGUUGACUCAUAGAAGGGACUCACUGAAUGUUUAAUUCUUGCCCACCCCUAGCAAGAUGGUCAUUCUUGGUAAAGUCACACAAGGCCACCCGACCAGACCUUCCCAUGGACCUCUGGAGCAUAGCUAUGAGAUCAGUAGUUCCUCAUGGAAGCAGGCAUGCCAUCCUUAUUAAGCUGCAGGUAUUAUGAGUUCUGUCUCUCCACACUUCCCAGUUAUUUCUGUGGAAAUCCUGGGGUCGUAAUUUGGAUUUGUUGAGAGAUGUGGCACUGACAGCCCCUGACAUCUGUUUACAACAAGCUGUGACAACUCUGCUUUCCCUGCACCACUGCCACCAUCGGCUUCCAUCCACAGCAGGGGGCAGGGGUGGGGCUGCUGAAUGGUUGGGAGUUGGGAGGGAGCUACCAUUGCCCCUCCCGGUCCAUCCCUCGACUCUUUA